CCCUAGCUAGCAGGACCACUUGGUAGAGCAUGAGACUCUUAAUCUCAGGGAUGUGGGUUUGAGCCUCACGUUGGGGA